UGCUAAGUGAAAUUACGCAAUUUAAAAUAAUGAAAUUGAUCGCAUUCAUCCUUUUUGCUUUACUCAGCCUGGGACAAUGCGGAAUAAUAAAGACAAUAAAACCUUAUCCUCACAUUGCUCCGGCAAGUGGUAUCCUGUAUAAAAAUGUUCAUUCACAGAAGAAGUCUAAUCGUACAGACGUUCAGAUAGAUACAACAAAUUAUACUCCACUGGUUCUGCAACAUGGUAUUAAGGAAACUUAUACCCGUCCACUUAUAACACAGUAUAAGCGUCCAGACGUUCUAAUUAACAACUCGCCGAAUUAGAUAAACGUGUAUAAUAAAUCCCCACUUUAAAAUAUUCCUGUACCURAUUGGCCCGAAUAUUGAUUUAACAAUUAAUAAUAAAUAAAACCAAAAUGCAAA